ensembl:lncRNA
CUUGACCCAGGUUAUGGAAACCUUUGAUAGAGUAUGGAUUAAUUUCAGUGAGGUUGAAUGUAAGUUUUUAAUCCAUGUAUGGUGACUUGACCAAGUUAUGGAUGCCUUGAAUAGAAAUGUUACUGUUAUCAAACAAACUGUAUACAAAACGUUUGAUUUAUGUUUCUCAUCAAAACAUAUAUAAAUCAUGUAGAACUCUUACAGCUUUGAGGGAUGUUACAUCUAUAAGUUUCAGUCAUUUUAAGAAGUAAGAAAUAAGUUAUGUUUUGUCUGGAACACUAUGAACGCGUCAUCAACCACGUGGUGAAGAAGAACGUUGCCAUUUUGUGUUGAAUGCGUGUGGACCUGGGGAGAUAUCUUUCAAGUUUUUUCUGUAGGUAUAGGUAAUUGGUGUUGAGACAGUUGGGUUGAGACGGGCUUCUGCUUCAAGCAUUGUUCCUAAGGCUCUGUAGAAAUUUGAUAUGGCAGUGUAAGGGGUGUUCCGUUGCAGUAGCUACAUCACCAUCAUUACAUGAUUCUUCAGCUGAUUGCCAGGAUGAGGAGUUUGUGGAAGAGGAAGUUUCUGUUGCACCCCUAGAUAAAUGCAGAAUUUAAGCGCAUUACCACCAUGCCCCUGCAAUCCAGAUUUCUGACACAGCUGGAUGUAAGAUCUGACAAACUUCUAAAGCUGUUCGAAAAACGAGGAGGACAGAUAGGCAAGCGUCUUGAGAGAACUUUGGCCCCCAUGACUCAAGAUGAUGACGUUGAUACAGGGCGGGAAUGUGUUCAAGGGGCUGUGUGUGUACCUCAACGAAGACCCAGCAAAUCUUGUCAGGGAGUUCGUGGCGUGUGCGCGGGCAGAUUUGACCAGGCAUAUGGGGGCGUGGCAGGAGUGCCUCUACGUAGAUGAUUUCCCGGAAAUGUGAACAAGUGAAUCGCAAACGUUGUCCCGAGUGUUUAGCGCUCUGCACAGCCACCCCAGACUGUCAGCAGGGAAUACGUCGAAAUGCAUUUACGUCAUUAUUUGACACUUGAGUAUGGUUAAACAUGACUAUCAAUCAUUAUAGCAACGUUCAUAGGUCAUAAAAGUCAAAAAAGCAUAAUUGGUCCCCUUUAAUGAAAUAGAU